UCCUAGUUUCCUAGGCAGUCUCGUCAGAGUGCCCCUUUCGGGUAGCAACUGACAACAGGAGUUGCGCUCGUUAAAGGACUUAACCCAACAUCUCACGACACGAGCUGACGACAGCCAUGCAGCACCUGUGCAUCCGUUCAAGCUUUCGCUUGAAAAAUCAUAUUUCUAUGACGGUCAAAUGCAUGUCAAGUCUGGGUAAGGUUCCUCGCGUAGUAUCGAAUUAAACCACAUGUUCCACCGCUUGUGCGGACCCCCGUCAAUUCCUUUGAGUUUUAAUCUUGCGACCGUACUCCCCAGGCGGAUCACUUAUCGCGUUAGCUGCAACACCCAUCGCGCAAGCGCGACGAACGUCUAGUGAUCAUCGUUUACAGCACGGACUAC
rnacentral:misc_RNA from 1 species